rnacentral:rRNA from 1 species
ACCCGCUGAACUUAAGCAUAUCAAUAAGCGGAGGAAAAGGAACCAACAGGGAUUCCCUUAGUAACGGCGAGCGAAAAGGGAUGCGCCCAGUAUGUAAAUCUCCAGCAUUUAGCUGGCGAAUUGUAGUCUGGAGAAGCUGCUCCUGGGAUUCGACCAGCCCAAGCAUCUUGGAAUGGAUCGCCUCAGAGGGUGAGAGCCCCGUAGGCUUGGUCGGAAACCUUCACGGAGCUCUUUCGGAGAGUCGGGUUGUUUGGGAAUGCAGCCCCAAUUGGGUGGUAAACCCCAUCUAAGGCUAAAUACCUGUGGGAGACCGAUAGCAAAAAAGUACCUCGAGGGAACGAUGAAAAGACCGCUGGCAAGCGAGUGAAAGAGUGCAUGAAAUUGUAUGGUGGGAAGGGAUGGCCUGGCACAAAGCCUUUGGGUAUACGCGGAUCCUUGAUCCGAUGAAUACACCAAGGCCGGUUGGUGCCGAUACUCGUGUUUGCAAACCCCCCAUCUAAGGUGUUUGGCUUUUCAAACGCGAGUGUUGAGGUUGAUCGUUGCUUCGUUUUAAACUGCAUCGACAUAGCACCAACGGAAGCUAGUCCAUCUACCCGUCUUG